AACGGCCAUACCAUGCUGAAUAUACCGAUUCUCGUUAGAUCACCGAAGUCAAGCAUCAUUGGGCGCGGUCAGUACUUGGGUAGUCAGUACUUGGUCAGUAGUGGGUGACCACCAGGGAACACCGCGUGCCGU